rnacentral:lncRNA from 1 species
GUUGUUUAUCCUCCAGGUGUCUGUCUGUCUGUUGGUGUUGUUUAUCCUCCAGGUGUCUGUCUGUCUGUUGGUGUUGUUUAUCCUCCAGGUCUCUGUCUGUUGGUGUUGUUUAUCCUCCAGGUCUCUGUCUGUUGGUGUUGUUUAUCCUCCAGGUGUCUGUCUGUCUGUUGGUGUUGUUUAUCCUCCAGGUCUCUGUCUGUUGGUGUUGUUUAUCCUCCAGGUCUCUGUCUGUUGGUGUUGUUUAUCCUCCAGGUCUCUGUCUGUUGGUGUUGUUUAUCCUCCAGGUCUCUGUCUGUUGGUGUUGUUUAUCCUCCAGGUGUCUGUCUGUUGGUGUUGUUUAUCCUCCAGGUGUCUGUCUG